GGGAAGGUGGCUGCUUAUUCUCUAUUUUUGUUAAGAAAUUAAAAAGGAAUAAGUUUUUUCGAAGAAUUUUCUCAAUCUCUCUCUCCUCAAAUUCUCUGUAACUUCCUCCUCCUCCUCCUGGCUCAGGCACUCUCCUCCUCUCAAGAGCCUAAUCUUGUAGUUGUAGUCGGCGCCGCUUCUUCCAACCACUUCUUCUUCUCUGCUGCUGCUACUCUCGCUAGUUGUUGUAACCAGCUGCAUAUUGUUGUGCUGCAAAAACAAGUACCUGAGAUUCUGAGAAGGGAAACUGCUCUAGGUUUUGCAGGUCGUGGUUUUCGAGCAAUCAUGAACUGGUUACAACGCAAGAUAUAUCUUUACAAUGUCACUUUUGGACUUUACAUGUUAGAUUGGUGGGAGCGUUACCUUUUCAAUACGCUAAUCGUUGUCUUAAUGUGGUUUAUUUUCUACAAUGGGUCACGGCAACUGUCUGAAUUAUGGAAGAGUUCUUUUGGCAAUGAUCAUUCUCAAUCUACAAUGAAAGGGUAUCUAUGGGAAGGUGCAUAAAUAAUUAGCUACCUCAACUUGCAACAGAAAGAAGUAAGAAGUAAUGGGGAAGUUGAUAUUGGACAAACUUCCAAUCUGCUGGAAUUGAAGUUACUGGUAGAUCUGAAUCAAUGUGGUUUUCGCGACUACGCUGUUGUUUCUUUAACCUUGUAGUUUGUCUAUUUAAAAGAAGGAUCAUUGAUCUUGGUUUCUGGUCACCAUCAUCUAUUGACCCUGUGUUAGUUAGUUCCAUGUUAAUAGUGUACUUGUUAAUUUACAACCUUCCAUUUUCAACUCUUUUGAGAUUAUCAUGGAUUUAUGGUUGUCCCUUUGUUA